rnacentral:lncRNA from 1 species
AUCAUGCCACUGCACUCCAGCCUGGGAGACAGAGUGAGACUCCGUCUAAACAACAACAACAACAACAACAACAACAACAACAACAACAACAACAAAGACACCCCCCCGCCAUCCCAUGCUUAUUAUAUCAUUCCUUUGAGAUUCAAACUUCUGGGGAAGAGAGUUGAUUAAUUUUCCCCUUUGUUUCUCGAUUAUAGGCCUCAACAAAUAACGAAAGCUCUAAUCACAGUUUUGGAAGCUUGGGAUCUUUAAGUGACAAAGAAUCAGAGACACCGGAGAAGAAACAAUCGGAAUCAUCCAGGGGAAGAAAGAGAAAAGCAGAAAACCAGAAUGAAAGUAGUCAGGGAAAAAGUAUUGGGGGACGUGGCCACAAAAUUAGCGACUAUUUUGAAUACCAGGGUGGAAAUGGCUCAAGUCCAGUAAGAGGCAUACCUCCUGCAAUCCGUUCUCCUCAAAAUUCACAUUCACAUUCCACUCCUUCCUCAUCUGUUCGACCGAAUAGCCCUUCUCCUACUGCAUUAGCAUUUGGGGACCACCCUAUUGUACAACCAAAGCAAUUAUCCUUUAAAAUUAUUCAGACUGAUCUCACAAUGCUGAAAUUAGCAGCAUUAGAAAGUAAUAAAAUCCAGGACCUGGAAAAGAAGGAGGGACGUAUAGAUGAUUUGCUCAGGGUAAGUAAUGAGUCAUAGAGGGGAAAAAAAUUGAAUAAAUUAUU